rnacentral:misc_RNA from 1 species
UUAAGUUCAGCGGGUAUUCCUACCUGAUUCGAGGUCAACCACGAUAUAGAUGGGGGUUUUCCGGCCGGACGCCGUCCCAGCACCCAGAACGAGAGGUAACUACUGCGUUCGGAUUUGGGGCGCCGCCGCCGCUUGCUUUGGGAGGCUGCGUAGCGCAGUCCUCCAACGCCAGGCAGGGCCUGAGGGGUUGCAAUGACGCU